rnacentral:lncRNA from 1 species
AUGGACGCCAUGGGGACUGCAGCGGGACGGUUCGUGGGGCUGUGUAACCGGGAGUCAUCCUGCCACGGGUGCGGCGGUUCCAGCAAGGUGCUGCAGGAAAGGGAUCCACAUGGCCCUGCCAGCCCUCCUUGUUCGGGGCAGAACGAACGGGUUGCGAGGCUUGCUAGCGUUCGAGCUGCGUCCUGGCCCUUGCUGUUUCCUUUGGAGGAAGAUGAGCACAGCAGAGGAGGAACUUCACCGGUCAAGGGGGCUUGCAGAGGGACAGCAUGUUUCAGUGUUUUAGCAGAAAGGCAAUGGCAUUGGAUAAUUAAGCAUGCAGUAAGUUAAGAAGUGGAAAAACCCCAGGAAGCAUCUAUUUCACAGGUGGGUGCAGCUGAUUCCUUCCUCCUGGGGACUUUUCCUCCUGCGGAUCUGUGCAAGCCAAAAGCCUGGGCACAAACGCUCCUGGCCAUGGCCGUGAUUCACAACCGUACCCCAGUUUCCCAGGCAGCAGGCGUCUCAGAAGAUCGCUGGUUAUUACGCUACCCAGUGGAGACCUGUGCUCGCCUGCAGGUGAUGGGGACGUUGUUAUUGCACCCUGCCAAAACGGGGGCACAGAGAGAUUGCCCUUGGCUUUGCAUUGCCCCUGAGGUCUGGUUUUCUUGGCAGACCAUUGACCAGGUUUUUGGGCCCUGGGGCACUGCCUGCAUGAGCACACCGUGGUGCUGAGCGUGUCCUGGUGCCCACACUGCCUCCGGGUGUGGGGCUGCAGCCACGGCCGGGGCCAGAGCAGCCCAGGUUAGGCAGCGAGGCUGCAGCAGGGCUGCCUGUCCUACCAGGGCCUCUAGUUCAGGGCCUGGCUGUGCACAAACUUCUGCCCUCCUGGAUGAAGGGAAAUGGUCUCUGCUCACAGCUGUAGCUAUCAAAAGCUUCACCCCUUCUGUAGCCAGGAUCCUUCAAGGAAAAUAAAAUAUGGUAAUGUUUGGGAAGGUGUUUUUUU